rnacentral:rRNA from 1 species
GACGAACGCUGGCGGCGUGCUUAACACAUGCAAGUCGAGCGGUAAGGCCCUUUCGGGGUACGACGAGCGGCGAACGGGUAGGAGUAACAACGUGGGUGGACCUCGCCCUUACGUCUCUGGGAGUAAAGACCGUCGGGAAACGUAGGGUCGUAAUAACCGGACGUAUGACUCCACUGACGCAUGUUGGUUGGGGUGGGAAAGACC